AACGAACGCUGGCGGCAUGCCUAACACAUGCAAGUCGAACGAUGCUUUCGGGCAUAGUGGCGCACGGGUGCGUAACGCGUGGGAAUCUGCCCUUGGGUUCGGAAUAACAGUGAGAAAUUGCUGCUAAUACCGGAUGAUGUCUUCGGACCAAUGAUUUAUCGCCCAGGGAUGAGCCCGCGUAGGAUUAGCUAGUUGGUGGGGUAAUGGCCUACCAAGGCGACGCUCCUUAGCUGGUCUGAGAGGAUGAUCAGCCACACUGGGACUGAGACACGGCCCAGACUCCGACGGGAGGCAGCAGUGGGGAAUAUUGGACAAUGGGCGCAAGCCUGAUCCAGCAAUGCCGCGUGAGGGAUGAAGGCCUUAGGGUUGUAAAGCUCUUUUACCCGGGAGGAUAAUGACAGUACCGGGAGAAUAAGCACCGGCUAACUCCGUG
rnacentral:rRNA from 1 species